AGAGUUUGAUCCUGGCUCAGGAUGAACGCUAGCUACAGGCUUAACACAUGCAAGUCGAGGGGCAGCAUGAAAGGAACUUCGGUUCUUUUUGAUGGCGACCGGCGCACGGGUGAGUAACACGUAUCCAACCUGCCGUCUACUCUUGGACAGCCUUCUGAAAGGAAGAUUAAUACAAGAUGGCAUCAUGAGUCCGCAUGUUCACAUGAUUAAAGGUAUUCCGGUAGACGAUGGGGAUGCGUUCCAUUAGAUAGUAGGCGGGGUAACGGCCCACCUAGUCUUCGAUGGAUAGGGGUUCUGAGAGGAAGGUCCCCCACAUUGGAACUGAGACACGGUCCAAACUCCUACGGGAGGCAGCAGUGAGGAAUAUUGGUCAAUGGGCGAGAGCCUGAACCAGCCAAGUAGCGUGAAGGAUGACUGCCCUAUGGGUUGUAAACUUCUUUUAUAAAGGAAUAAAGUCGGGUAUGCAUACCCGUUUGCAUGUACUUUAUGAAUAAGGAUCGGCUAACUCCGUGCCAGCAGCCGCGGUAAUACGGAGGAUCCGAGCGUUAUCCGGAUUUAUUGGGUUUAAAGGGAGCGUAGAUGGAUGUUUAAGUCAGUUGUGAAAGUUUGCGGCUCAACCGUAAAAUUGCAGUUGAUACUGGAUAUCUUGAGUGCAGUUGAGGCAGGCGGAAUUCGUGGUGUAGCGGUGAAAUGCUUAGAUAUCACGAAGAACUCCGAUUGCGAAGGCAGCCUGCUAAGCUGCAACUGACAUUGAGGCUCGAAAGUGUGGGUAUCAAACAGGAUUAGAUACCCUGGUAGUCCACACGGUAAACGAUGAAUACUCGCUGUUUGCGAUAUACAGCAAGCGGCCAAGCGAAAGCGUUAAGUAUUCCACCUGGGGAGUACGCCGGCAACGGUGAAACUCAAAGGAAUUGACGGGGGCCCGCACAAGCGGAGGAACAUGUGGUUUAAUUCGAUGAUACGCGAGGAACCUUACCCGGGCUUAAAUUGCAGAUGAAUUACGGUGAAAGCCGUAAGCCGCAAGGCAUCUGUGAAGGUGCUGCAUGGUUGUCGUCAGCUCGUGCCGUGAGGUGUCGGCUUAAGUGCCAUAACGAGCGCAACCCUUGUUGUCAGUUACUAACAGGUCAUGCUGAGGACUCUGACAAGACUGCCAUCGUAAGAUGUGAGGAAGGUGGGGAUGACGUCAAAUCAGCACGGCCCUUACGUCCGGGGCUACACACGUGUUACAAUGGGGGGUACAGAGGGCCGCUACCACGCGAGUGGAUGCCAAUCCCAAAAACCUCUCUCAGUUCGGACUGGAGUCUGCAACCCGACUCCACGAAGCUGGAUUCGCUAGUAAUCGCGCAUCAGCCACGGCGCGGUGAAUACGUUCCCGGGCCUUGUACACACCGCCCGUCAAGCCAUGGGAGCCGGGGGUACCUGAAGUGCGUAACCGCGAGGAGCGCCCUAGGGUAAAACUGGUGACUGGGGCUAAGUCGUAACAAGGUAGCCGUACCGGAAGGUGCGGCUG
rnacentral:rRNA from 1 species